rnacentral:rRNA from 1 species
CCUACGGGUGGCUGCAGUGGGGAAUAUUGGACAAUGGGCGAAAGCCUGAUCCAGCAAUGCCGCGUGAGUGAUGAAGGCCUUAGGGUUGUAAAGCUCUUUUACCCGGGAUGAUAAUGACAGUACCGGGAGAAUAAGCUCCGGCUAACUCCGUGCCAGCAGCCGCGGUAAUACGGAGGGAGCUAGCGUUGUUCGGAAUUACUGGGCGUAAAGCGCACGUAGGCGGCUUUGUAAGUUAGAGGUGAAAGCCUGGAGCUCAACUCCAGAACUGCCUUUAAGACUGCAUCGCUUGAAUCCGGGAGAGGUGAGUGGAAUUCCGAGUGUAGAGGUGAAAUUCGUAGAUAUUCGGAAGAACACCAGUGGCGAAGGCGGCUCACUGGACCGGUAUUGACGCUGAGGUGCGAAAGCGUGGGGAGCAAACAGGAUUAGAUACCCUUGUAGUC